rnacentral:rRNA from 1 species
GGGCCCGCACAAGCGGUGGAGCAUGUGGUUUAAUUCGAUGCUACGCGAAAAACCUUACCUACCCUUGACAUACUCGGAACCUCCUAGUAAUAGGAGGGUGCCUUCGGGAACCGAGAUACAGGUGUUGCAUGGCUGUCGUCAGUUCGUGUCGUGAGAUGUUGGGUUAAGUCCCGUAACGAGCGCAACCCUUGUCCUUAGUUGCCAGCACGUAAUGGUGGGGACUCUAGGGAGACUGCCGGUGAUAAAUCGGAGGAAGGUGGGGACGAGGUCAAGUCAUCAUGGCCCUUAUGGGUAGGGCUACACACGUGCUACAAUGGGCAGUACAAAGGGAAGCGAAACCGCGAGGUUAAGCAAAUCCCAAAAAGCUGCUCCCAGUCCGGAUUGGAGUCUGCAACUCGACUCCAUGAAGUCGGAAUCGCUAGUAAUCGCGAAUC